UCUGCACGAACACCGCAUGGCAGGAGCGGGGGACCCACUCAUGGGGCAUCGCGGAUGCUCCUCGGGGUUAAGUCCUUCAGGCGCAACGGACCGCUAGGUCGAUCCGGCGCCGCAGGACCGGGCCACACCUCUGGCCCGAACCCGACAGCUCACCCCGCAAGCCGGAUAGAGGUCAA
rnacentral:sRNA from 2 species